CUAGCUGUAAACGAUGGAUACUAGGCGUUGAGAGUAUCGACCCUCUCAGUGUCGUAGCUAACGCGUUAAGUAUCCCGCCUGGGGAGUACGCGCGCAAGCGUGAAACUCAAUGGAAUUGACGGGGGCCCGCACAAGCGGUGGAGUAUGUGGUUUAAUUCGAUGCAACGCGAAGAACCUUACCAGGGCUUGACAUGUCCGGAACCCUGCCCAAAGGCGGGGGUGCCUACGGGAACCGGAACACAGGUGGUGC
rnacentral:rRNA from 1 species